rnacentral:rRNA from 1 species
AACGUAGGAGGCGAGCGUUAUCCGGAUUUACUGGGUGUAAAGCGCGUGCAGGCGGUUCGCUAAGUUGGAUGUGAAAGCUCCCGGCUCAACUGGGAGAGGUCGUACAAGACUGGCGGACUGGAGUGUGGUAGGGGAAGGUGGAAUUCCGGGUGUAGUGGUGAAAUGCGUAGAUAUCCGGAGGAACACCAGUGGCGAAAGCGGCCUUCUAGACCACAACUGACGCUCAGACGCGAAAGCUAGGGUAGCAAACGGG